UACGAAGGGGGCUAGCGUUGCUCGGAAUCACUGGGCGUAAAGCGCACGUAGGCGGACUCUUAAGUCGGGGGUGAAAUCCUGGAGCUCAACUCCAGAACUGCCUUCGAUACUGGGAGUCUUCGAGUUCGGGAGUGGUGAGUGGAACUGCGAGUGUAGAGGUGAAAUUCGUAGAUAUUCGCAAGAACACCAGUGGCGAAGGCGGCUCACUGGCCCGAUACUGACGCUGAGGUGCGAAAGCGUGGGGAGCAAACAGG
rnacentral:rRNA from 1 species